rnacentral:rRNA from 1 species
CCUACGGGGGACAGCAGUGGGGGAUAUUGCACAAUGGGGGAAACCCUGAUGCAGCGACGCCGCGUGUGGGAAGACGGUCUUCUGGAUUGUAAACCACUGUCCCCAGGGACGAAAAUGACGGUACCUGGGGAGGAAGCUCCGGCUAACUACGUGCCAGCAGCCGCGGUAAUACGUAGGGAGCAAGCGUUGUCCGGAAUUACUGGGUGAAAAGGGAGCGUAGGCGGGGAUGCAAGUUGGGUGUCAAAACUACCGGCUCAACCGAUAGUCGCACUCAAAACUGCAACUCUUGAGUGAAGUAGAGGCAGGCGGAAUUCCUAGUGUAGCGGUGAAAUGCGUAGAUAUUAGGAGGAACACCAGUGGCGAAGGCGGCCUGCUGGGCUUUUACUGACGCUGAGGCUCGAAAGUGUGGGGAGCAAACAGGAUUAGAUACCCGUGUAGUC